GAGUUUGAUCGUGGCUCAGGAUGAACGCUAGCGGCAGGCCUAAUACAUGCAAGCUGAACGGUAAAUAUUGUAGCAAUACGAUAUGAGAGUAGCGUAAGGGUGCGUAACACGUAUGCAAUCUGCCCUGUACAGGAGGAUAGCUCGGCGAAAGCCGGAUUAAUACUCCGUAAUAUUAUUGGGUAGGGCAUCUCUUGUAUAAUUAAAAGUUACGCAAGACGGUAUGGGAGUGAGCAUGCGUCUGAUUAGCUAGUUGGUGGUGUAACGGACCACCAAGGCGAUGAUCAGUAGGGGAACGUGAGAGGUUGGAUCCCCCACCACUGGCACUGAGAUACGGGCCAGACUCCUACGGGAGGCAGCAGUAGGGAAUAUUGGUCAAUGGAUGCAAGUCU
rnacentral:rRNA from 1 species